CAUGUCUCUUAUGAUCAUGUGGCAGGCUCUCGAAGAAAUGGCCAAGAAAAAUGAUGGCAAGAUUACCUGUCCAAGAACAGGUCUGAUUUGCAACUAUACAGUGCUAGUUAAGGCAUAUAUCUCAUAACUCAAAUCAGACAAAUCUUUCUAAUCAGAUAAUGGUGGUUGAUUUAAAGAUAAUGUUAUUUAGGGAUGUACCCUGACCAUGUUUAUAGCCGAUGAAGGUCUUUGCAUGUGAUGAAGGUGCUUCAUGCUUUCUCUUUUUCAUUUUACUAAACUGGAAUAUUGAUGUUCUUGUAUCUUAUGGGAGCAGCAUUGCCUUUCAAAUGUGUAAAAUAAUUAUUACAUCUAUGGAUCAGAAAACUUCAAGGACAA